GAUGAACGCUAGCGGCAGGCUUAACACAUGCAAGUCGAGGGGCAUCGGGAGGAAAGCUUGCUUUCCUUGCCGGCGACCGGCGCACGGGUGAGUAACACGUAUGCAACCUGCCCUCUUCAGGGGGACAACCUUCCGAAAGGGAGGCUAAUCCCGCGUAUAUCGGUUUCGGGCAUCCGAGAUCGAGGAAAGAUUCAUCGGAAGAGGAUGGGCAUGCGGCGCAUUAGCUUGACGGCGGGGUAACGGCCCACCGUGGCGACGAUGCGUAGGGGUUCUGAGAGGAAGGUCCCCCACACUGGUACUGAGACACGGACCAGACUCCUACGGGAGGCAGCAGUGAGGAAUAUUGGUCAAUGGGAGAGAUCCUGAACCAGCCAAGCCGCGUGAGGGAAGACGGCCCUAUGGGUUGUAAACCUCUUUUGUCGGAGAACAAAACCCGGGACGUGUCCCGGACUGCGUGUAUCCNAAGAAAAAGCAUCGGCUAACUCCGUGCCAGCAGCCGCGGUAAUACGGAGGAUGCGAGCGUUAUCCGGAUUUAUUGGGUUUAAAGGGUGCGUAGGCGGUCCGUUAAGUCAGCGGUAAAAUUGCGGGGGCUCAACCCCGUCGAGCCGUUGAAACUGGCAGACUUGAGUUGGCGAGAAGUACGCGGAAUGCGCGGUGUAGCGGUGAAAUGCAUAGAUAUCGCGCAGAACUCCGAUUGCGAAGGCAGCGUACCGGCGCCAGACUGACGCUGAGGCACGAAAGCGUGGGGAUCGAACAGGAUUAGAUACCCUGGUAGUCCACGCAGUAAACGAUGAAUGCUGGUUGUCCGGGUCGAAUGAGAUCUGGGCGGCGAAGCGAAAGCGAUAAGCAUUCCACCUGGGGAGUACGCCGGCAACGGUGAAACUCAAAGGAAUUGACGGGGGCCCGCACAAGCGGAGGAACAUGUGGUUUAAUUCGAUGAUACGCGAGGAACCUUACCCGGGCUCAAACGGGAGUGGAAUGGACCAGAGACGGUUCAGCCUACGGGCCGCUUCCGAGGUGCUGCAUGGUUGUCGUCAGCUCGUGCCGUGAGGUGUCGGCUUAAGUGCCAUAACGAGCGCAACCCCCCGCCGGCAGUUGCUAACGGGCAAUGCCGAGGACUCUGCCGGGACUGCCGCCGCAAGGCGAGAGGGAGGCGGGGAUGACGUCAAAUCAGCACGGCCCUUACGUCCGGGGCGACACACAUGUUACAAUGGGCGGUACAGCGGGAAGCCAGGCGGCGACGCCGAGCGGAACCCGAAAGCCGUUCUCAGUUCGGAUCGGAGUCUGCAACCCGACUCCGUGAAGCUGGAUUCGCUAGUAAUCGCGCAUCAGCCAUGGCGCGGUGAAUACGUUCCCGGGCCUUGUACACACCGCCCGUCAAGCCAUGGGAGCCGGGGGUGCUUGAAGUGCGUCGCCGCGAGGCGCGCCCUAGAGCAAAACCGGUGACUGGGGC
rnacentral:rRNA from 1 species